rnacentral:lncRNA from 1 species
UUAACAUGUAAAUUCAGAUAAUAGUUUAUUUUAAGGACAUCUAUGCGUAUUGCGAUCACCGGAUUUUUACGGGAUGGGUCACACUGAGGUCACUUUGCAUACGGAAAAUAUGUCGGGGGAAUUGCCUCCUGGAAGGAAGCAAUUAAAAUAAAGUAAACUUCUUCUAAAUAUGAAUAUAUUAAAGAAUUUUCUUCAGAAAAAAGUAUAUGUACA